GUAUCUGUGACUCUUGCGAGGUGCUAAACUGAUGUUUGAUAUUUUAUUUGAAAUAUCAUUUGUUGAACUGGAAUUAUCGCUUUUCUUGAGGCAAUAUGGGGUUGGACUUCAUUGAAGGACAAGGAGAGGAUUUUGAGAGAGCUUUAGAUCAAACUGGUUUUGGAAAGUUUCAUUUCGCUCUUUUGGCAGUAUGCGGCCUCAUCUAUUUGAAUACUGCGGUGGGAAUAACGAUAAUCUCGUUUGUUCUUCCUUCUGCGACAUGCGAUUUUCAGAUGUCUUCUUCGGACAAGGGGUGGCUUACUGCUGCCCCUAU